rnacentral:rRNA from 1 species
AUUGAACGCUGGCGGCAUGCCUUACACAUGCAAGUCGAACGGACUUCUCAUGAAGCUUGCGAUUGAGAAGUUAGUGGCGGACGGGUGAGUAACGCGUGGGCAACCUGCCCCUGAGCCCGGGAUAACAGUUCGAAAGGACUGCUAAGACCGGAUAUACUUGCGGUGAAGCAUUUCACUGCAAGGAAAGGGAACGCUCAGGGAUGGGCCCGCGUCCCAUUAGCUAGUUGGUGAGGUAACGGCCCACCAAGGCGACGAUGGGUAGCCGGCCUGAGAGGGUGAACGGCCACACUGGGACUGAGACACGGCCCAGACUCCUACGGGAGGCAGCAGUUGGGAAUCUUCGGCAAUGGACGAAAGUCUGAUGGAGCAACGCCGCGUGAAUGAAGAAGGCCUUGGUCGUAAAAUUCUGUUGUCAGAGAAGAACGUGCGUGAGAGUAACUGUUCACGUAUUGACGGUAUCUGACCAGAAAGCCACGGCUAACUACGUGCCAGCA